rnacentral:rRNA from 1 species
UAGGGAAUCUUCCGCAAUGGACGCAAGUCUGACGGAGCAACGCCGCGUGAGUGAAGAAGGAUUUCGGUUCGUAAAACUCUGUUGUUAGAGAAGAACAGCGCAUAGAGUAACUGUUAUGCGUGUGACGGUAUCUAACCAGAAAGCCACGGCUAACUACGUGCCAGCAGCCGCGGUAAUACGUAGGUGGCAAGCGUUGUCCGGAUUUAUUGGGCGUAAAGCGAGCGCAGGCGGUCAAUUAAGUCUGAUGUGAAAGCCCCCGGCUCAACCGGGGAGGGUCAUUGGAAACUGGUUGACUUGAGUGCAGAAGAGGAGAGUGGAAUUCCAUGUGUAGCGGUGAAAUGCGUAGAUAUAUGGAGGAACAUCAGUGGCGAAGGCGACUCUCUGGUCUGUAACUGACGCUGAGGCUCGAAAGCGUGGGUAGCAAACAGG